UAAUUUCUCUUAAAGGAACUGUCGCAUCCGUUCGGUAGAUUCCGAAACUAUAGCACCGUUUUACUCCUCGUUCAACACUGACAAUUAUGCCGAAAAUCCAUUAGUGGAGUAGUUUCUGUGCAAUUUGAUGUAAUGCAGGAGAAGAGCGGACGCCGGAUGUUGAGAGUACGUCGGAAUUCCCUCUCUGGAAAUCGGAGAAAACGUCAUACGGACAAGUCCAAUCAGAAAGCGCCCCUUUGCGAGCGGCUCCUCGCGUCUCCAUGUCCCGGAGAUCUGCGAUGGGGGUUUGUCAUUUCUGAGUUAGCGCAGGACGUGUUCGUACAGCCAGGAAAGUAACACCGUGUUCGAAGCGACAUGGCCGCGUCAGAACUCACACUCAUAAGCGAAAAUCGGCGUAUUUACAGGGGACUUUUCAUUUACCUACUAUAUAUUGCAAAACGAACACGAAGCAGACGAGCUCGGAGACAAUGGCCUCCGAUUGGUGCACCUGGUACGUCAUCAUGAUGUUACUAUCACUGGGGCUUCCUCAGGUGCAGAGGCAGUGCGAAUCUUUAAAAUUCGUUUAUGUAAUAUGUAAGCCGUUUUCGGAAGAGAAAUUUGGCCAAGUACACUGUGAACCUUUAAAUACAGCUAUAUUUCCCUCGAAACCAGCUGUGGCUAUGAUUGCGAAAGUUUCGUUCGUGAUGGAUCUUUCAUUCGGUGCAAUUGCGGUUUUCGCCCAAGCCAUUGUUAGUCAGACAUCGGCAUAUGUUGUCGCUGUGGCACACGUAAAACGAAGGAAAAACAGUUCUGUACCGCGAUAGUGAUAGCCUCGAUGUUCCUCGGGGAAUACUGGAGGAAGAUCAUGCUUACAAAAGCCUCGUGGAAGGUUAGUACUCGAUGUUUCGCGCGCGGAUUGGCUUCGUAGUGCCCAAAAGAUGUUUCCAAUCCAUAACGCACCCUCUGGAUGAUAUCUUCGUUCGACAUCCCUUACAAAAACAGUUUUCACCUUUUAGUGGUCCUCUUAUGUACUUCUUUUAUACCAUGUCACCUUUCUAUGGUUUGCUCCUUCCUUUGUACCCGGUAUACAGACAGUCUACCUACCUCUUGUGCUUUUCCUUUAGCUUUCACCGCUGUGGUCGUUUUAACGACUUGGUAUGCAGACUGUUGGUAGACCAUUAAUGUACCACUACAACAGCGCUUUCAUGCUGUUCAUUGCGGAUGGCAAUAAUUUGGAAUGUGGUUACUGAUUACAUUACACUUUAGUGACAUUAAUUUGACCUUGACCGCAAGCUCACCUGCAGUAAGUUUGUACAAGCGACACGUCAGAAAAAUAAAUAAAAUCUUAUAUUCACUAAGAAAAAAGUACUAAAUUUCUGAUUAACAGUUGUAUCGCAAAUAAUUCUACAAUUAAGGGACUGCAGAUGUUUAUGCAAUGGGGCAGCAUCAGUGAAAUCCACAGAAAUUCAAGCAUCACAGUAAGUGGAACAAUUCCUAAUACCAAUAUGUUAAGAGUCACGGUUACGUAAUGACAUGAAACAAACAGGAGAUUGACACAGCAACAGCACACUGUAAAAAAAUAAUCGUGAAAAAUACGGGCAUAUCGCCGCGGGCGCGAUCCCGUGUUUUCAAAUCACGCGCGUUUCCUGUUAUUUCGCGGGGGAGGAGGUGUCUGGGCAUGCGCACUGGAUCUGCAUGGCCUCCAGCAACCGGCACAUGUGUGAGGAACGCAAGCGUGCCCCGACUGUCAAAAUCGUCAAAGCCAAAGCUGUGCCUCACUCGUGGGCUUUCGCAAUAAGAUUUCGAAGGGUCUGGGCGUAUACAGACAAGAAGCAAGCAGCAAACGAGAGACUGGAAUGGAAGCCGCAAACAAGAAAGUUGCUGCAGCCCAUAUAGGGCUCCAGUGAUGAACAUGGCUGCCCAGGAAAACAUAUCUUUGUGUUGAAGCCGGUCUGUGCAUAUUUUAAUGAAGACUAUGAGGUCUGCACCUCGUUCCACACUCACAAAGCUGGCCAGACAGCUGUGGAGUGAGGGCCCCCAACACCAUGCCUCUGCUAUUGGGUCAUCACUACUACACUUCUCAGGCAUUGUUCUUCCCUUGGACAAUGACAAAACGCUAACUGCAAGGAGCGUGGAGAAAGGAUUGGCGCUUCAGCUCGGAGUGUAUUUAAACUACGAUGUGCAGUGCCUGCCACCAACGUUUCUUAUGUUACAAUCCAUGCAAUGCUAUUUUGGACACAUCAGCACUGAAAGAGGAACAAAGCACCCCAAUGGUAAUCAAGCUUAAGUAGCAUACCUGUUUGCGUUCUGUCACUCAUCUGCGAACUGGGGUAAAGUUGAAAGGAGCCAUUCCAAGCUGCUGUGCUGGAGAAAGCUACUGCACUGUACAUUUCAGUGAAUAUAUUGCUUUAUGAACACAUAA